rfam:Dipodomys ordii contig_89810, whole genome shotgun sequence.
GGUGGCUCAGUGGUAGAGCACUUGUCUUGCGUGCAUGAGGCCCUGGGUUCAAUUCCUCAGCACCA